rnacentral:tRNA from 1 species
GUCCCCUUCGUCUAGUGGUCCAGGACAUCGCCCUCUCACGGCGGCAACGGGGGUUCGACUCCCCUAGGGGACGCCA